UUGACAUGUCCAGGACCGGUCGCAGAGAUCUGACCUUCUCUUCGGAGCCUGGAGCACAGGUUCUGCAUGGCUGUCGUCAGCUCGUGUCGUGAGAUGUUGGGUUAAGUCCCGCAACGAGCGCAACCCCCGUCCUUUGUUGCUACCAUUUAGUUGAGCACUCUAAGGAGACUGCCGGUAAUAAGCCGCGAGGAAGGUGGGGAUGACGUCAAGUCCUCAGGGCCCUUACGGGCUGGGCUACACACGUGCUACAAUGGCGGUGACAAUGGGACGCUAAGGGGCAACCCUUCGCAAAUCUCAAAAAGCCGUCUCAGUUCGGAUUGGGCUCUGCAACUCGAGCCCAUGAAGUUGGAAUCGCUAGUAAUCGUGGAUCAGCAUGCCACGGUGAAUACGUUCCCGGGCCUUGUACACACCGCCCGUCACACCAUGGGAGUUGGUUUUACCUGAAGACGGUGCGCUAACCCGCAAGGGAGGCAGCCGGCCACGGUAGCCUCAGCGAU
rnacentral:rRNA from 1 species